CGGGGGGAGAGGAGGGGCGGGGCCGCGGGAGGGGAGGGGCCGGGCCGCGCGGAGGGGCUUUAGUCGUUGGACCUAGGCAGUGGCGGCGUCCAGUAUUAUAGAUGAGAAAGCUGAAGUGACCGCCCAAGAGCUGAGAUCUGAUCCCAAGUUGGCCGAGACCGGCAGAAGUGGAGGGCGACUGGAGGAGCUGGAUGACUCGGGAACGGAAGCGCGAGCUCCUUGAUGCCCCUGCCCUCAGGGCAGUCAGGGGACAGGACCCUGCCCUCUGGGCUUUUGGGAUUUCCGGGUGGCGUCUAUCGCCUGCCCAAGGUCACCAACCGCCCUCAACUCGAGUGCCCUGGUGCCGGAUGUGGCCGAGGUCUGGUCAACGUCAAGGAACACAGAGUACACGUUGAAAGGCAGCCAGCCACCGACGCCUGACUUCUCAAGGGACAAUAAAUCUGGAAUGCUCCCUACACCCCACCUGUUCAGUCAAAUUUACAGGCCCCAGAUGGAGAACUUAAGAUGGAGAGAAGUCUUUUCUUCCCCCUCCACGACGAACAGGUGGAUUCAGACCUGAGGUGGGGAGCCAAGUCAUGGGGCCAGGCCAGCCAGGGAGGGAACCUGGAUCUGAUCUUCCAACAAAGCCGUGGGGCUUCAGAACAGACAGAAAUGGAAAGAAAGUCGGCUCAGAUUGGUUCCUCCACGAAGAACUGUUCUAACGGCCUGGGCUCAGCCACGAGUGAGCCAGGUGCACCUGCUCACCGGUCCAGAGAAGGGUGUGGGCAAGUCGAGCUGCCUUGUUACAGACUGACAGGUUCUCUAUAGUCUCUUUCUUCUCUUUUGGGGAGACUAUGGUAAAAAGUCAUUUACUAAGAAGUGAUGGAUAUUGGUCGAGGCUCAGUUACUUUUGUGGUGAGCUAUUCUAUAUGUUGGAG
rnacentral:lncRNA from 1 species